GUAGGACCGUUCCCUCCGGGUUAACGGCCCAAGAUUAUGCCUAAGGAAUGGCCUUUAGACGUUCGAGCGCCCCAGUGAGAUCGGAUGCCUCGAUCCUAGUCCAUCACACCCCGUAUCGGGAGCAGCUAUCGAUCAUGGCGUAGGCCCUUAGUGUAUAAGUCCGUGUAAGCUAGCUACCUAGAAAGCAUGAACUACUAGACUGAGUAUGCAGGGUAGAGGAUUCUAGGUAGCGGUGAAAUGCGUAGAAUUAGAAAGACACCGGUGGCGAAAGCGCUCUACUGGAUCAUACUGACACUCAGAGGCGAAAGCUAGGGUAGCAAAAGGGAUUAGAUACCCCUGUAGUCCUAGCCGUAAACGAUGGAUACUAGAUGUGUGCAUAACGUACAGUAUCGUAGCUAACGCGUUAAGUAUCCCGCCUGGGGAGUACGCUCGCAAGGGUGAAACUCAAAGGAAUUGACGGGGGCCCGCACAAGCGGUGGAGCAUGUGGUUUAAUUCGAUGCAACGCGAAGAACCUUACCAGGGCUUGACAUACUACAAAUUCUUUAGAGAUAAAGAAGUGCCUUCGGGAAUGUAGAUACAGGUGGUGCAUGGCUGUCGUCAGCUCGUGUCGUGAGAUGUUGGGUUAAGUCCCGCAACGAGCGCAACCCUUAUUUUUAGUUACUAACUUGUUAGGUUCUCUAGAAAGACUGCCGGUGACAAACCGGAGGAAGGUGAGGAUGACGUCAAGUCAGCAUGCCCCUUAUGCCCUGGGCUACACGCGUGCUACAAUGGUUAAGACAAAGAGUCGCGAGCUUGUGAAAGUCAGCUAAUCUCAUAAACUUAGCCUAAGUUCAGAUUGUAGGCUGCAACUCGCCUACAUGAAGUUGGAAUCGCUAGUAAUCGCUGGUCAGCCAUACAGCGGUGAAUCCGUUCCCGGGCCUUGUACACACCGCCCGUCACACCAUGGGAGCUGGUCAUACCCGAAACCGUUUGCUUAACCAUUCGGAGAGCGGCGUCUAAGGUAGGGCUAGUGACUGGGGUGAAGUCGUAACAAGGUAA
rnacentral:rRNA from 1 species